rnacentral:tRNA from 7 species
ACUUGUCUAGCUCAAUUGGUAAAAUACAAGGCUUUUAAACUUGUGGUCGUGGGUUCAAAUCCCACAGUGAAUG